rnacentral:rRNA from 1 species
GACGAACGCUGGCGGCGUGCUUAACACAUGCAAGUCGAACGGAAAGGCCCCUUUGGGGGUACUCGAGUGGCGAACGGGUGAGUAACACGUGAGUAACCUGCCCUUGACUUCGGGAUAACUUCAGGAAACUGGGGCUAAUACCGGAUAGGAAUCCUUGCUGCAUGGUGGGGGUUGGAAAGCUUCGGCGGUUUUGGAUGGACUCGCGGCUUAUCAGCUUGUUGGUGGGGUAGUGGCUUACCCAGGCUUUGACGGGUAGCCGGCCUGAGAGGGCGACCGGCCACAUUGGGACUGAGAUACGGCCCAGACUCCUACGGGAGGCAGCAGUGGGGAAUAUUGCACAAUGGGCGGAAGCCUGAUGCAGCAACGCCGCGUGCGGGAUGACGGCCUUCGGGUUGUAAACCGCUUUCAGCAGGGGCGAAGCUUGUGGUGACGGUACCUGCAGAAGAAGCACCGGCUAACUACGUG